rfam:Collinsella tanakaei YIT 12063 genomic scaffold supercont1.18, whole genome shotgun sequence.
GUCAGCGGCCAUGGCGGGCGGGGCACGCCCGGACCCAUUCCGAACCCGGAAGCUAAGCCGCCGAGCGCCGAUGGUACUGCGGGGGAAGCCCGUGGGAGAGCAGGGCGCCGCUGACC